rnacentral:rRNA from 1 species
AGAGUUUGAUCCUGGCUCAGGAUGAACGCUGGCGGCGCACUUAAGACAUGCAAGUCGAACGGACUUAACCGAAAUAUUUAUAUUUUGGAGCGGUUAGUGGCGGACUGGUGAGUAACGCGUAAGCAAUCUGCCUAUUAGAGGGGAAUAACAGUGAGAAAUCACUGCUAAUACCGCAUAUGCCAUGAACAUCGCAUGAUGAAAAUGGGAAAGGAGUAAUCCGCUAAUAGAUGAGCUUGCGUCUGAUUAACUAGUUGGUGUGGUAAUGGCAUACCAAGGUAACGAUCAGUAGCCGGACUGAGAGGUUGAACGGCCACAUUGGGACUGAGAUACGGCCCAGACUCCUACGGGAGGCAGCAGUCGGGAAUAUUGCGCAAUGGAGGAAACUCUGACGCAGUGACGCCGCGUAUAGGAUGAAGGUUUUCGGAUUGUAAACUAUUGUCAUUAGGGAAGAUAAAAGACAGUACCUAAGGAGGAAGCUCCGGCUAACUACGUGCCAGCAGCCGCGGUAAUACGUAGGGAGCAAGCGUUAUCCGGAUUUAUUGGGUGUAAAGGGUGCGUAGACGGGAGAUUAAGUUAGUUGUGAAAGCCCUCGGCUUAACUGAGGAAUUGCAACUAAAACUGGUUUUCUUGAGUGCAGGAGAGGUAAGUGGAAUUCCUAGUGUAGCGGUGAAAUGCGUAGAUAUUAGGAGGAACACCAGUGGCGAAGGCGACUUACUGGACUGUAACUGACGUUGAGGCACGAAAGUGUGGGGAGCAAACAGGAUUAGAUACCCUGGUAGUCCACACCGUAAACGAUGGAUACUAGGUGUAGGGGAUAUUAAGUCUUCUGUGCCGUCGCAAACGCAGUAAGUAUCCCACCUGGGGAGUACGGCCGCAAGGUUGAAACUCAAAGGAAUUGACGGGGGCCCG